UGAGGAAUAUUGGUCAAUGGACGAGAGUCUGAACCAGCCAAGUAGCGUGAAGGAUGACUGCCCUAUGGGUUGUAAACUUCUUUUAUACGGGAAUAAAGUGAGGCACGUGUGCCUUUUUGUAUGUACCGUAUGAAUAAGGAUCGGCUAACUCCGUGCCAGCAGCCGCGGUAAUACGGAGGAUCCGAGCGUUAUCCGGAUUUAUUGGGUUUAAAGGGAGCGUAGGCGGACGCUUAAGUCAGUUGUGAAAGUUUGCGGCUCAACCGUAAAAUUGCAGUUGAUACUGGGUGUCUUGAGUACAGUAGAGGCAGGCGGAAUUCGUGGUGUAGCGGUGAAAUGCUUAGAUAUCACGAAGAACUCCGAUUGCGAAGGCAGCUUGCUGGACUGUAACUGACGCUGAUGCUCGAAAGUGUGGGUAUCAAACAGGAUUAGAUACCCUGGUAGUCCACACAGUAAACGAUGAAUACUCGCUGUUUGCGAUAUACAGUAAGCGGCCAAGCGAAAGCGUUAAGUAUUCCACCUGGGGAGUACGCCGGCAACGGUGAAACUCAAAGGAAUUGACGGGGGCCCGCACAAGCGGAGGAACAUGUGGUUUAAUUCGAUGAUACGCGAGGAACCUUACCCGGGCUUGAAUUGCAACUGAAUGAUGUGGAGACAUGUCAGCCGCAAGGCAGUUGUGAAGGUGCUGCAUGGUUGUCGUCAGCUCGUGCCGUGAGGUGUCGGCUUAAGUGCCAUAACGAGCGCAACCCUUAUCGAUAGUUACCAUCAGGUUAUGCUGGGGACUCUGUCGAGACUGCCGUCGUAAGAUGUGAGGAAGGUGGGGAUGACGUCAAAUCAGCACGGCCCUUACGUCCGGGGCUACACACGUGUUACAAUGGGGGGUACAGAAGGCAGCUACACGGCGACGUGAUGCUAAUCCCUAAAGCCUCUCUCAGUUUGGAUUGGAGUCUGCAACCCGACUCCAUGAAGCUGGAUUCGCUAGUAAUCGCGCAUCAGCCACGGCGCGGUGAAUACGUUCCC
rnacentral:rRNA from 1 species